rnacentral:lncRNA from 1 species
UUCAUAUCCUUAGAGGGGUAAAGGGGUAAAAAGAAAUUGAUUUGAGAGGGGUAAAAUAGGGAAUCAGUGGUUAGGAUAGGGUUGCCGUAGAUAUGCCUAUUUAAGGGCCUUCUUCCUUCCAUUGAAGAGCAGCUUAGACAUUCUGAAAACCUGAAGAAACAAUUAUGGUUCAUUUUGAGAAUUUGAGAUGGUUUGAUUUUGAAUUCGAAAAGGUUUUGGUUUGAUUUUUGUAGAAGUCCAUUGUUCCAUUUAUUUGGGGUUGAAUUCGUUGAUCUUGGUUCUUGAGUCUGGGCUAGUUUGCUGUUGGGUUUUGAAGUUGUUUAUUCUUGUCUAUUUGCAUCAUUUUUUGGGUUUGGUUGGUGAUGUUAUUGGUGUUAGUUUUUUGCUGAUUAACCUUGCUGACAGUUCAUUCUCUUUGCUCCCUUUUGUUUCAAUUCUAGGUACUCAUCUCUAAGCUUCAAACCACGUGAUUGUCAAAGUGGGAGACAAAGAUGGAAUAAAAUGGCUUGAUAUUUGAGUGCCGAUGUUGGUUCUCCAUCAGUUUUAUUCUGUCUAUUUUCAUUUUUUGCUCCAUGCUUGUCUGCAAAGCGAUGUAUAUUAAUAGUAGCAUCUGAAUGUGCUCUCAUUGAAUAGAGAUUGUUCAGAGAUCUAUUCCAUUUCAUGUUAAUCAUGC